GCAAAAUUCGCUCACAGAUAAAGAGACACUGUGUGUAAAUGUGUGAAAACCGCCGGAAAAUGCCCGUGAUUCCGUUCGCCGCCACGCGAUCUGGCAUCAGAGACUUCCUCCUCGCCGUCUCCGCCUUACUCUCCAUCUCUCUGCUCCUCUACCUCCACCACCUCGACCUCCCGCCCAACGUCGUCUCUCACUCCGCCGUCCAAUCUCGCGCCGCUCUCCCUCCGCCGCUCUCUCUCCACGGCAUCCUCUUCUCCAUCGCCUCCUCCUCUUCCUCCCUCCACCGCCGCGCUCCCUACCUCCGCGUCUGGCACCGCCCGAUCGCUCACCUCAACACUACAUUCAUCUUCCUCGACCGUCCCCCACGCCAGCCCCUCCCGCCAUCCCUCCCUCCCAUCAUCGUCCCGCCCGGCGCCGCCUCUCUAGCCGCCGGCCACCGCAUCGCUCGCAUUGUCAAGGACGCCGUCGCCUUAGACGCUCCCGGCGUUUGUUGGUACGUUUUCGGCGACGAUGAUACCUUGUUUUUCACGGGGAAUUUGGUGAGGAUUUUGUCGAAAUACGACCACAAUAAGUGGUAUUAUGUUGGCUCUAGCUCCGAGAGUUAUGAGCAGAAUGAGAAAUUUAGUUUUGACAUGGCGUAUGGGGGUGGUGGAUUCGCGAUCAGUGCGCCAUUGGCUCGGGUUUUGGCUAGGGUUCUCGAUUCAUGUAUCGGUAGGUACCGCCAUUUAUACGGAAGCGAUGCUCGAAUUUUCGCUUGCUUAGCUGAGCUAGGUGUCUCGUUGACUGUCGAGAAAGGGUUCCAUCAGGUUGAUGUUCGAGGAGAUUUAUUUGGGUUGCUUUCUGCACAUCCAUUAUCACUUGUUGCAUCACUGCAUCACAUAGAUGCUAUUGAACCAAUCUUUCCUGGUAGGACCCGGCUUAAUGCUUUGGAGCAUCUUUCCAAAGCUUCACGUGUUGAUCCUGCUAGGAUUUUCCAGCAGACUGUUUGCUACGACCACACUAGUUCAGUUACAGUUUCAAUCUCAUGGGGUUAUGCUGUUCAAGUGUAUGAAGGGAACCAACUUCUUCCUGAAGUACUCUCACUUCAGAGAACUUUUAGGCCAUGGAAGAGAGGAAAAGAUGUAUCUUCAAGCCGUUAUAUGUUCAACACAAGAGAUUACGCUAGUGAUCCAUGCAAAAGACCUGUUGCCUUCUUUCUGCAUACUGUUAGUGCUGAUACAACUGGUAUCUGGACUGAAUACACUAGACACAAUUCUGGAAAUUGUUCUAAAAUCAAAGCACUAGAGAGACUGAAAGCAGUUAGUCUUUAUUCUCACAAUCGAGACACUAAUACUGACCAGAUGGAAGCACCACGCCGUCAUUGCUGUGAUAUUUCAUCAUUUUCUGAUGAAACAAUGACUGUCCAAAUAAGAAAAUGUGGAAUUCUUGAAUUGAUUGCCAUGCGGGGAUAACUAAUCUUGCAUAGUGAGUGCAUUAGCCUUUGAUGUGGAACCUUGUAAUGGGAUGAAUGGAAUGGCAGUGUGGAUCAUAUCAUAGAAGCAAGCACACUGCAUUGCCAAGCCUGUGCAUUUCUCUUGGUGGUCAACCCAGUUCUUCAAGGGCAGAUAUCGGCAGGAGUUGUUCAAAUUCUUUAGUGAAGAUGUAACUAAUUUUUGAGGAAAAAUAUGUCCUAAGCUAAGCUGUUUACUUCCCACCCAGGUUACCGGGUCAACAAAGGAAAAAGCAAAGAUGCAGAUUACUAAAGUACCGUCCAAACCUCAAGCAUCAAAUCGCCUCGUAACCUUGAUGAUCAUUUCAUUACUUCUAUGCACGAUGUAUCUGCUUGCAUCAUUCUUGAUCCUCCCGAGCACGAAGGUAAUACAUUUGUCCAGUUCCUUACAAGGGUGGUCAUCACCAACUACCCUUGAACACAUAGUUUUUGGCAUUGCCUCGAAUGAGAAGUCCUGGCCUAGCAGGAAGGAUUACGUUAGAAUCUGGUGGAGGCCUCAGGAGAUGAGGGGUUGUGUAUUCUUGGAAGGCAUGCCACCAAACGGAACACUUGAUCAGGCUGAUGCCGGUUCUCUUCCUCCUAUAUGUGCAUCAGAGGACACGUCGAGGUUCCGUUACACAUACAGGCACGGCCACCGUUCAGCCAUACGCGUGGCACGUGUGGUGUUGGAGACCGUUGCCCUUAACCACCCCAAUGUGAGGUGGUUUGUGUUUGGGGAUGAUGACACACUUUUCUUCCCUGAGAAUCUUGUCAAGACUCUUUCAAAGUAUGAUGAUGGCCUGUGGUAUUACAUUGGGACGAACUCGGAGAGUUUUGCUCAGAACAAGCUCUUCUCCUAUGAAAUGGCCUUUGGAGGAGCUGGCUUUGCUAUCAGCUAUCCUCUGGCCAAGGUUUUGGCUUCUGUGCUCGAUUCGUGUUUGGUUCGAUACCCUCACCUCUACGGAAGCGACAGUAGGAUUCAAGCCUGCCUUGCGGAGCUCGGCAUCAGUCUCACUCAUGAGCCAGGAUUCCAUCAG